CACGUAGGGCGCAAGCGUUGUCCGGAAUUAUUGGGCGUAAAGAGCUCGUAGGCGGUCUGUUGCGUCCGCUGUGAAAACUCGGGGCUUAACCCCGAGCCUGCAGUGGAUACGGGCAGACUAGAGGUAGGUAGGGGAGAAUGGAAUUCCCGGUGUAGCGGUGAAAUGCGCAGAUAUCGGGAGGAACACCGAUGGCGAAGGCAGGUCUCUGGGCCACUACUGACGCUGAGAAGCGAAAGCAUGGGAGCGAACAGGA
rnacentral:rRNA from 1 species